rnacentral:misc_RNA from 1 species
CUUCUUCUUCUUCUUCUUUGCCUUCUUCAAGCUCUUUAUCUUCCUACUUAUCUUUCCCAGUCCCUACUUUUCUUGAGCAUUGCUUUCUUUGUGGGCAGAAACUCUUGGCUGGCAAGGAUAUCUACAUGUACAAGUAAGCAAUACAUAGCAAACAAAUAUUCUACUGUUUCUAAUUUUCUUCCAUUUUUGUGUUUUCUUUAAAUACCCAGAUCUUAUAUGGCAGAUAUUUGGCGAAUUAGCACUACGUUCUCGCUUGCUAAUCUUCAAAAGACGGAUCUUUCUUUUGUUUUCAUGUUUUUCCUGUGAUUUUAUGUUAUUCAUAGUGAGCUUUAAUGGCACUGUGUUAAUAUUUCUUAUAAAAGCUUGAUUUGGGUGGUUAUCUUCUUACAUGCAGAGGAGACAGAGCUUUUUGUAGCGUCGAGUGCAGGUGUAGGCAGAUAUUUAUGGACGAGGAGGAAAACCUGAGGAAAGAGAACUGUUCAGUGGCAGCCAGUAAACCAACUUCUGCAUCUUCCUCUUCAUCAUCAUCUUCAUCUCCUGCUUCUCGUCACCGCAAAAGCACAAGAAACCGAGCGGGUGGUUUUGCAUAUUGAGAGAGAGAGAGAGGGAACUGAAGCUCUUCUUUUUUUUU